GGGCUCGCUUCGGCAGCACAUACACUAAAACUGGAACGCUAUCGAGAGGAUGAGCAUGGUCCCUGCGCAAGGAUGACACACGCAACAUCACAAAGGGGCCCAUAUUU